AAUCAUCAUUGUUUCCCCUCAACUCUCGGUUUAAGCCAACCAUUUCCAUCAACAGCAUCCCAAAACUAUACACAUCAGCCUUGUAAGACACUCCGCCAAAACUAUACACAUCAGCCUUGUAAGACACUCCGCCAAUAUGCAGAAGACAUAGGAAAAGAGCAGGUGGUGUUGUUUAUGGAAACAUGAGCAAGCCUGAUGGUGAAGUCACUGUAAUUGAUCGCUUUCACCAAGUAUUUCUGGGAGUUUAGAUGAACUGAGGCGACGUUGUUUUCGCAGACUAAUUCGUAUUUGCGAUCACCACAGUGCUUGGGAUCACCCUUGAGGCGGAAAGGGGAGCUAAUAUUGCGAAUAACGCCACACGCAGAAGGGGUGCAGUCGGCUGCAUUACAAGUUUGAAAGAAAACAAUCAAGAGAGAUGAACAAGUGAAGAGGAAGAUGAAGUUUCGAGUGAUCAUCAUUCUUGCUUCAGAUUGUUUUCCACUACAAACUUCACACAUUAAAAGGCAACAAGACUAGAGUGCACCGGUCAUAUGCACCAAUCUCUGACUAAGUCGCAACAAAACGGCAUUCGUCAAAGUUUUUACCUCUAUUUCUUUUUUACUUUAGUUGUCAAUUGUCAUGACUUGACUUUAGAGAAACAAGUUAGAUAGCGUAUACUUCAUUAUUUUGUUUAUACUAAGGAAUUGAGUCAACCCAAAUAAUCUUAGUUUUUAUUUUAAUUUUAUGUUUCGGCAAAAAUUUCUUGUCCUUGAGCAGCAGCAAGCAGCAUCGCUUUCUUCUUUGAAGAGAUAUUAGACAACUUUGAUAUUAAGGGUGUGUUCUCUUUGAUGAAAAAUGAUGGAAUAUAAUUAUUUUCUACUCAUUUUUACCUUUUUAACUUACAUGUUCUAUAGAGUAGAUGAAAAAUGAUGAAAUAUAAUCUAUAUAGACAUAGUGUAGAUUAUUCAUUCCAAGCUCCUAAAGUUCGUCAAUACUUCAAAUAAACAAUCUAUAUAUAACUAAUAAAAACAUUGGCACAACUACUAGAAUCCUAAAUCUGCAUAUAAAAUAAUAGCUAGCAUGACAAAUCUUCAACACUAAGGCCAAUGUUCAGAUAAUUAAACCGCUCUGACAACGAUCGAUGAAGAAUUAGUAGAACAUGUAGUCCUAGUUUCAUCAACAUCUACUACAAUGUGCGAUGGUUGAGACGGAUACUCUGGAAUCUGUAGACGCUCGACAUCAGCUUCCAACAUUUCCAACACUUUAUUCAUUGAUGGACGAUCAUCUGGAUUCAUUUGUAUGCACCACAACGCAACUAUUGUCAUCUUCCGACCAACUUUCCUCGUACUAUCAUCAUCAGCAGCAUUUCCAAUUUCAAGGUCCAUGCCUUGGUUAAUACAGUCAUAUAUCCAAUAUGGGAAAUACUUGCUAGAAACAUCAUUAUUUCCUAUCAAGUCUCUCUUUAAGCCCACCAUAUCCACUAACAGCAUCCCGAAACUAUAUACAUCAGCCUUGUAAGACACUCCGCCAAUACUUCUAUUGAUGAGUUCAGGAGCAACAUACUCUAUGGUUCCUCUAACAGCAGUCAUGGUCACUGUGUCCUUCUCAGUGGAGCAUAAUUUUGCCAACCCAAAAUCUGAUAUUUUUGGGACAAACUUAUCAUCGAGAAGUAUAUUGUGAGGUUUAAUAUCAAAAUGCAAGAUCUGAAUAUCACAACCACGGUGCAAAUACUCAACUCCUCGAGCCACUCCAACUGAAAUCUUAAAUUUCAUAUCCCAAUCCAAUGAAGAUGCUUUUUCUUUAUUGAGAACGUACUUUUCAAGGGAACCAUUGGGCAUGAAAUCGAAUAUGAGGGCGCGUUUGGAUCUUUCAGCACAAUAUCCAACAAGCUUGACAACAUUUAUAUGAUGGAUCCUCCCAAUGGUUCCAAUUUCAUUAAUGAAGUCUUGCCCAUUUGCCCCUGAUUUUCCGAGUAGUUUGACUGUUACAUGAUGCCCACUUCGGAGCUUUCCUUUGUAAACAGAACCGAACCCUCCUUGGCCUAGUUUUUCUCGAAAACCCCUCGUCAUCUUCUUUAUAUCUGAAUAGGAGUAUCUGAUUGGUGAGAGUUGGUUGUCACUCUGUAGGAAGCCUUCAAUUUGAUCGUACACCGAAAAGCGCCUUCUUAGGAAUUUGUAGAGCAGGAACACCAUCGCGCCAAGAAUCCCAACGAUGAAUCUUACUCCAAAGCUAACAACUGUCACAAACAAAAACAAUUCAAACAAGAAAAAGAAACUUAAUAUCUAUCAUGCUUACAAAGUUUUGUUUUUUAUAUCGAUCACAACUUGAAAUGUCAAAGCAUAUAGUAGGAGCUCACCGAUGAGACGUUGACUAUCGAGGCGCCUCCCUGCAAGUAGUCCACAAACAUGAUAACAAAAUAAGGUUAAAACAGAUCGGAGUGAACAUCAUAUCAUUUGCUUUACUCACAUGAGAAACUGAUCGGGACUAUGGUAUCCUUGAAAAGAAUCCAAUAGGAGGCGCCAAAUCCAAUGAUGAUCUUUGCUGGAAUGCUAACCCCUGCAAAUACAACAGCUGCAAAUUUUCUGGACAAAGUUACUUACAAAUUGUCUACCUGCAAAUUGAAAUGAAUGAAUUUUUAUAGAAUUAAGCACGCACCGACUAUGAGCAGAAAAAUGAGUAGACAGCCUGCAGAUGGACCAUCUGAGCAAUGAGGAAUAAACAUGGAUACAUCCUAUCAAUUAAUCGCCUUGUUUUUAUUCUUCUUUCUUGAUAAAUAGAUCCUAUCAAUUGAUCUUACCUUGAGGUUGUCAGAAGGAAUUCUUGAAGUUGGCUACAUUUUCCAGAAUACAAGAAAAGCAUGAGCAUAGAAAUAUAAGUUUAAACUUGUUGGUUCAACUUGUAAAUUAAGCAGUCUUACCCCAGUUGUAAUAGAGACCAGAAUGGUAGCCAGGGCAAAUAAUUAGGCCAUCAGGCUCGAUAGAACAAAGAGCUCCUCCUUUGCAGCCGCGACACAUAAAUCUCAUCCAAGAUAGAUUAAAUCCGUAUAGCAAAGAUUGAUGGAUUUCUAUGAGAGAUACAUUAUUGAGAUCUGUAAAAUUCCAAGAUGUUGCAACUACGGAAUCUAGUGUGCACAUAUACUCCACAUCUCUGGCGCGCAUGUGGCCGACCUUUAUGUAAGUAUGUCUGCUAGAUUUCUCACAAUCAGUGACUUGGGCUAAGAGAGAAGAAUUAUGCAACGGCUCAGCGCAGCUUAUGAAAUUAAUAGGCUGAAUUGCUUCCACCUCCAAGAAAAAGGUGUCAGGAAGGUGAUCAUCAUAUGCAGAAGACAUAGGAAAAGUGCAGAUGUUGUUGUUUAUGGUAGCAUGAGCAAGCCUUAUGGUGAAGUCACUGUAAUUGAUCGCUUUCACCACGUAUUUCUGGGAGUUUAGCUGAAUUGAGGCAACGUUGUUUUCGCAGACUAACUCGUAUCUGUGAUCACCACAGUGCUUGGAAUCACCCUUGAGGGGAAAGGGGAGCUAAUAUUGGGAAUAAGGCCACAUGCAGAAGGGCUACAAUCUGUUGCAUUACAAGUUUGAAAGAAAACAAUCAAGAGAGGUGAAAAAGUGAAGAGGUUUUGAAUUGUGAUCAUACUUCUUGCUUCAGAUUUUUCCACUACAAACUUCACAUCUUAAAAGGCUAUAAAUGAAAUGUCACUUGGGAUAAUGGUGCAACUAUGAAUCAUCUAUGACCAAGUCCGAACAACACGACACUGCACUAAUUUUUAACUCUUUUUUAAUUUGGUACGUGGUUAUGGCAUGAACAAGUUAGCUUAUAACUUCAUUAGUUUUACGGAAGGGUGAGUAAGUAGCAAAGAAGCUCGAAUAUGUUUCAUGACCUAAUACAUUCCAGAUAAUAUAUUAUUUUCUCCCAACUAUGGGAAAAAGGUUUAACAUAGAAUAUUGUCAAAAGAAGGUUGCAUAAGGUAUUCGAUCACAAAUAAAUCUCAUUUUAGAGGAUAAAUUCGAAACCUCAUUUUCUGUUAUGGCAAAGUCUUCUUGUCCUUGAGCAGCGACAAUAUCAUUUUCUGUUUAUGUUUAUGUGUUUGUCUCUUUCCAAUCCAUCAUUGUCAAUCAUCAUCAUCAACGUAAUUAAUUAGUAGUGUUAAGACUGACGACCGAGCAAUCAAACUUAUCUCUAUCUUCACUAGCCAGAUUCUACAUAUAUAAGAGAAAUUUCUUUAUGGAACAUUACCUCAUGUUUAAUCUUAAUUAGACGAGAAAUUUGGUCAAAUACUUCAAAUAAACAAUCUCGAACUAAUUAAUGACGCAGUGGCACAAGCACAACUAUCAGAAUCCAAAAUUUACAUAAAAUUGUUAUAGCAACUCUACUUGAAGAUGGACCUAAAAGUAAAUGAUUUUGGCAAGUCAGCAGAAACACAUAACAACAGCUAUAAUUAAGUUCAUUUCUUAGUUUGGCAAAUCUUCAACAGCGACGCCUGUGUUCAGAUCAUCAUUCUGUUGUAUUGAUGAAGAAUCAGUUGAACACGUAGUCCCAAUUUCAUCAACAUUUACUACAACGUGGGCUGAUUGAGAAGGAUAAUCAGGAAUCUGCAGACGCUCAACAUCACCUUCCAACAUUUCCAACACUUUAUUCAUUGAUGGACGAUCAUCUGGAUUCAUUUGUAUGCACCACAACGCAACUAUUGUCAUCUUCCGACCAACUUUCCUCAUACUAUCAUCAUCAGCAGCAUUUCCAAUUUCAAUGUCCCUACCUUGGUUGAAACACUCAUAUAUCCAAUAUGGGAAAUACUUGCUAGAAACAUCACUGUUUCCUAUCAAGUCUCUCUUUAAGCCCACCAUUUCCACCAACAGCAUCCCAAAACUAUACACAUCAGCCUUGUAAGAGACUGCACCAAUACUUCUGCUGAUGAGUUCAGGAGCAACAUAGCCUAUGGUUCCUCUAGCAGCAGUCAUUGUCACUGCCUUCUUGUCUGCGGAGAAAAAUUUAGCAAGCCCAAAAUCAGAUAUUUUAGGGAUGAAGUUAACAUCAAGAAGUAUAUUAUGAGGCUUGAUAUCAAAAUGCAGGAUCUGAACAUCACAGCCUCGAUGCAAAUACUCAAUCCCGCGAGCAACUCCAACUGCGAUCUCAAACUUCCUAUCCCAACUCAACGAAUUUGUUUUGUCUCGAUUGAAAAGAUAUUUUUCAAGCGAACUGUUGGACAUGAAAUCAUACACAAGAGCACGCUUGGAGCCUUGUGCACAAUAUCCAACUAGCUUCACCACAUUGACAUGGUGAAUCCUUCCAAUAGUUGCAAUUUCAUUCAUAAAGUCUUGCCCAUUUCCUCCGGAUCUUCCGAGCAAUUUGACUGCUACGUCAUGGCCGCUUCGGAGCUUCCCUUUGUAAACCGAACCGUAGCCUCCUUGACCUAAUUUAUGUUGAAAAUUUUGAGUCAUCUUCUUAAUGUGGGAAUAGGAGUAUCUGAUUGGUGUGAGUUUGUUGUCGCUUUGUAGGAAGGAUUCUAUUGCUUCAUACGUAGACAAAUGCCUUCUCCGGCAUUUGUAGAUCAAGAACCAAACUACCAAUGGACAAAUGAUUACUUUUGGUGCAGUGAUGAUGAGGCCUGGGAUGAGAUGCGAAAAUUAGAACAAAACUCCUUUGAGGUAUAUAUGCGUGUACAGUAUGGAAAAUGCAUGCGUUGCAUCAUGUGAUGAUAUGUAUGUAUAAUUUUAUCAAAAUAAAUAAAAUGAUAUAUAAUGUUUAUCUUCAAACAUUGGCAAAUAUAUGUUAUAAGUAAAGAGGAAUGUUAUGUUACAUACCUUACGUAAAUAUCGCUCUCGUUUAGUUCGUGUUAGCAUUAUUCUUUUGAUUCUAUAAUACCAAAAUUUGUUAUUUGACGAAAUUACAUAAAAAUUAUCAAAAUUUAUUUUCUUCUUUUAUUAAGUUAAUUGAAGUUAUAGGAAAAAUGAAGAAAUCGAGCUUUGAUUUUUAUGUAAUUUGUAAAAUAAAUAAAGUCAAUAACAAUUUUUGUGAUACUAGUUUGUACAAUUUUGACCAUCAAAAAUCAUAUUGUAGAUUAUUAGAGGGAGAAAAUACAAUAUUAUAUUUUAUAUAUAUAUAUAUAUAAUUACAAGGCAAAAAGCUAUUUUGCUCUCAUCUUAUAUAGCCCCACUAAUUCAAUUUUGACCAUCAAAAUCAUAUUGUAAAUUAAUAAUUGAAAUUUUAAAAAAUUAUAUACUGUAACUUUGAAUUAAUGAAUCCAAAUAAUCAAUUAUUAAUUCAAAUAAAUUUAAAAAAAUAAUUAUAAACCAUAAUUGGAUGAGUGAACCCUUGUUAAUUAUCUUUUUAUAAUAUUAAAGCAUAAUAAAUUAAAAUUGAAGAAAAUAUAAUUAAAAAUUAUAAUAAAUUAAGAGUGGUACACACAAAAUAGUGGGACAGAGGAUCUCAUGUGCUAAUCCAUACCUCAAAUUUAGUCCUCUUCCUUUUUUUCAGGCAUACAUGUAAAACAUAUCCUACUAUAUAUACUGAAUCAUCCACAAUACAAUUAGUUAGUUUCGAAUAACAUUAAUUGAGUAAUAUAAUGUACAAGUUGUACUUGUGCCAAUACAUUAAUUUUUGGGGGGAAAAAAAAAACUUUUUUCAAUACUAUAAAGAAUAAGUAUAGAUCAUAGAUAGUGUUUAAUGGAUCGAUAUGACGAUUAUCUUUUCUUUUUUCCUAUAUUCAUUAAAAGAUUGAGGGAGGGAAAGAAACGCGAGACCUCUCCAAUGAAAAAAUGAAAGGAGGUUCAUUAUUAAAGGAGAUUGGAUUUGUUUGCAAAUUAAAGCUUAUUGAGCCUUAUAAUGAUCGAUGAGAGACGUACUUGAAAUGUAUAUAGUAAGCAUAAGAAAGAUUAAGAGUCGCACCCGCGAUUCCUAUAAUUAAUGUGUCGAUCCCUGCAACCACACCAGAAUACAUAAUUAAUUAAGCAAAGAGGAAUAGAGAGCAAAAAGAGGAAUAGAAUCACAAAUUAAAGAUUCUUACGGAGAUGUUUCGACAUGAACAUAUCGAACACAAAAUACGACAAGAAUCCUAAUCCAGCCAAGAUCGUCAGAGGAAAGCUUAGUCCUGCAACUAAAGAAACUGCAAUGGUUUGAGCAAAAUAAGAGUUAUUGUAGAAUUGUCUAGCUUGUUUGCAUGAUUUCAGAAUGAAACAGAAAUCGAGUGCACACCUACGAUGAACAGAAGAACCGGGAGAUAACCUGCAGAUGAUGAGUUUAAUCAAGACUAGAUAAUAUAUUAAUUUGUUUAAGACAAAUCAUAUAUGCACGUCAGAAAUCUAAUUCUUACCCAAGAUCGCGACUCUAAAUUUCUCUGCAUUUUCCACCACACAAAAGCAUUAGCAUAUAUAAAAAGAGGAAUUGCAAUUAGGUUUAACACAGAGCAUGUUGCUUUCUUACCCCACUGCGUGGGCAAUGGCCUACAGUCACCACAGAAGUGGAGCUCGAAUCCAUACAAGAGAGAGUCAUGGAUUUCUGAAAGUGAUGCAUUGUUUGAAUCGUUAAAUUCCCAAGAUGUCAUCACAAUGAGAUCUACUUCGCACAUAGGUGUACCUCUGAGGNACUACUACUACUAUAUGUAUGUAUAUAUAUAUAUAUAUAUAUAUAAUUACAAGGCAAAAAGCUAUUUUGCUCUCAUCUUAGCCCCACUAAUUCAAUUAAAUAUUUCUAAAUCAUAAAACUAAUUGUUAUUAUGGUUAGCAAGAGAGUUUACUAUAUGUUAGUCAUACUUUAAAUUUAAAGAGAAGUAAUCUUUUGUGUUAAUACUUCUAAAUAACCAUUUUUCUUAAUACUCCAGACAAAAUUGCCUAUAGAGUAAAUAUGAACCUCAUAGUGUUCAAAUUGUACAUUUUGCACUAUUAACACUUGAUUAAAGGUGGUGGAAGGGUUUUGAUUUCUUUUACAACUAUGACUUUGUAAAAACUAAUUUCAUAUCUGUAAAAUCUAUCAAAUUUUCAAAUUUAUUUUAUAAAAGUUAAAAUUUAAUGUAUUUUAUAAAAGACCAUUUUAGAUAGUAGUGGCUAUCAUGGUUAUACUUUCAUUUUUGUGGUUAGAAUCAAUAUUUCUAUGAAAAUAUCUAAUAUUUCAAAAAAACAAAUCCAACGAUUCCCCAUAGUCAAGAAUAGGGAUGUCAAUCCAGCUCGAAACCCGUGGGCUGACCCAAGUAACCCGAAAAAAUUAGAGGGUUGGGGUUGAAAAAUCGCAACCCGAUUGUAAAUCGGGCUAAUCAGGCUAGCCCGUUCGGGCUGGCGGGUUGAAGCGGGUCAGCCCGUUGGGCUACUGUUUUUUUUUUUUAAUUGAAUUUUAAAAUACUUUAGAGUUUAGGCCUUUAUGGUUUGGCCUGAAACCGAAAAUUUUUCAGCCUCACUAGUCACUAGCGCGCCUCCACCCUCACUUCAGCCAUUCUUCCUCUGCCGCCAACCGAUCUACCACCUCCAGCCACGCCGCCGCACCUCCCUCCCCUCCGGCGCAUCCACUCCCAUCGGGCAACCGCACGGCUAUAUUAAAGAUAUAUAAUUUAUAUCUUUAAUAUCUAUGUAUAUUUUAUACAUUAUACAUUAGAUCAUUAAGAAUAAUAAAAUACAAAUGAUAAUUUUAUUUUUACGCCUAUAACCUAGUUAGAAGAAAUGGACAUUGCAAGGGAUAAUUAUGACAUCUGUAUAAUCUAUAGUAUAUAGAUUAAUUAAAAUAUAAUCUCAAAAGAAUAUCAAAGUACUAAUUAAUCAAGCAUUUAUUACUUGAUUUGAGUUUGGCAUGAUGUCAUAAUGAUGAUAAACAUUUUUUUGAUACAUCAAUUCAAUGAACAAAAUUGAUAAUCAAAAUAAUAUUUUUCCCCAUAUCUUGUUUCAGUGGUAAUUGUUAAUCAGUAUCUAUGUCAAAAUUAGAGAAAUAUUGCAUAGAGUUGUGUGUUAUAUUAUUCAUUCAUAAUAAUUUUUAUGUGGAUAUUCUGAAGAUGUGUUAUCCUAUAAUUAUCACAUCCUUAAGUAUUUACAUUAAUUUAUUAAAAUCUUUAUUAUAAGGGUUAAAUUAUUUUUUGUUUUAGUACAUAGUAAUGUGAUCAUAUUCAAAACUUUUAAUAUAUAAUAAUGUAUAAAAUUAAAAUAAUAUCUCUAAUAAAAAAAAUUAAAAUAAUAUCUAUAGUAAUGAUAAAUUAGAAUUUUAGUAGGAGUAAAGAUAGAACUUAAAUUAACACUCUAGAAAAUCAGUAGAAAAUAACUGUAGAAUGCAUUGAUGCUUGUUUGGUACUCCCUCUGUCCCGCUUCAAAUGACCCUAACUUUUUCGGCACGGAAAUUAAGAAUGUGUGAUAGAGGUGUAAAGUGGUGGUCCAAAAAGUAGUGUUAAAUAAUUCUAUAAAUUGAAUAGGUUAUUUGAAGUGGGACAACCCAAAAUAGAAAUAGGGUCAUUUGAAGCAGGAUGGAUGGAGUAUAUUAUAAAAAAUUCAUAUAUAAAUUGCGAAUUAAUUAAAUGAAUAGUUUUAAAUGAAAUAUCCAAUAUAACUUUAUAUUGAUGUGUAACUUUUAUAUGUUUAUCCAAUCAAAAGUUUUAUGUUAUUUAACUUUACUAAUUUUAUUUUUGUAGAAGGAUAACAAAUAGUAUUUUUCUUACUAAUUAACAUAUAUUUCCUCAAUGUAUUUAUGUAUUUUUCGAAUCUUUUUGUUUGUAUAGAUUUAGGUUUCAAUAGGACUUAACAACAUAUUUCAUUAAGUUUUUUUAUAUGCUUAUUGAAUUUAUAUAAUAAAUUUGUAUUCAAAAAAUUAAUAAGUCUUAGAAUAAAAUAAUAGGUUUAUAUUGACAAAUAGAUAACAUCGAACUUUCUUAGAAUUGUGAUUGGAGUUGGACUCUUUUUUGUUCAUGAUUAUGAUAAUAACCAAUUAAAUAAAAAAAAGUUAGAAUAAUAAUAAUAAUAUGAUAUUACACUAUUGUCCUUAAGAUAGAUUUAAAAAUAGGGAUAUAUUAGGCAAAUCAAAUUUUGUAAAACAAUACUCUUUUAUAAUAGGUAUAGUUAGAAUAAAAAAAUAGUAUAUAUACACAAAAAAAAUAAAUAUCAAUGUGAGUUAAAUAAGAGAGCGUGGUGAUCAUACAAGGUAUCUAGUAUAACAUUCCUCCCCUAAUAAAUACCUCAAAUUUAGUCCUCUUCCUUUUUUCAGGCAUACAUGUAAAACUUAUCCUACUAUAUAUACUGAAUCAUCCACAAUACAAUUAGUUAGUUUCGAAUAACAUUAAUUGAGUAAUAUAAUGUACAAGUUGUACUUGUGCCAAUACAUUAAUUUUUGGGGGAAAAAAAAACUUUUUUCAAUACUAGAAAGAAUAAGUAUAGAUCAUAGAUAGUGUUUAAUGGAUCGAUAUGACGAUUAUCUUUUCUUUUUUCCUAUAUUCAUUAAAAGAUUGAGGGAGGGAAGAAACGCGAGACCUCUCCAAUGAAAAAAUGAAAGGAGGUUCAUUAUUAAAGGAGAUUGGAUUUGUUUGCAAAUUAAAGCUUAUAUAUUGAGCCUUAUAAUGAUCGAUGAGAGACGUACUUGAAAUGUAUAUAGUAAGCAUAAGAAAGAUUAAGAGUCGCACCCGCGAUUCCUAUAAUUAAUGUGUCGAUCCCUGCAACCACACCAGAAUACAUAAUUAAUUAAUUAAUUCAAAGAGGAAUAGAAUCACAAAUUAAAGAUUCUUACGGAGAUGUUUCGACAUGAACAUAUCGAACACAAAAUACGACAAGAAUCCUAAUCCAGCCAAGAUCGUCAGAGGAAAGCUUAGUCCUGCAACUAAAGAAACUGCAAUGGUUUGAGCAAAAUAAGAGUUAUUGUAGAAUUGUCUAGCUUGUUUGCAUGAUUUCAGAAUGAAACAGAAAUCGAGUGCACACCUACGAUGAACAGAAGAACCGGGAGAUAACCUGCAGAUGAUGAGUUUAAUCAAGACUAGAUAAUAUAUUAAUUUGUUUAAGACAAAUUAUAUAUGCACGUCAGAAAUCUAAUUCUUACCCAAGAUCGCGACUCUAAAUUUCUCUGCAUUUUCCACCACACAAAAGCAUUAGCAUAUAUAAAAAGAGGAAUUGUAAUUAGGUUUAACACAGAGCAUGUUGCUUUCUUACCCCACUGCGUGGGUAAUGGCCUGCAGGCACCACAGAAGUGGAGCUCGAAUCCAUACAAGAGGGAGUCAUGGAUUUCUGAAAGUGAUGCAUUGUUUGAAUCGUUAAAUUCCCAAGAUGUCAUCACUAUGAGAUCUACUUCGCACAUAUGUGGUACCUCUGAGGCCUUCAUGCGGCCGACCUUUACAUACGUAUAUCUGGGAUGGGAGGCACAAUCAGUAGUGAUAUCUGUGAACAUGGAAGAAUUCUUCAAGGGAUUGAGGCAGCUCAUCAAAUUAAUAGGGCGGCCGAUGAAGCGAUGAUAGGGAUAUGGAUAAUCAAGACCGCCGUGAAAAGAAUGGAUGGGGAAAGAGCAAGAGUGGUUGUUGAUGGAAGCAUCAGCCAGCCUAAUGUUUGGUUGAUAUAGUCGAUUGCUUUCAUAUGGUAUUUUUGUGAGUUCAUGUACAUUGAGGCUAUGUUGUUUUCGCAGCCUAGUUCUAACAUGGGAUUGCCGCAGUUGUUGGGGUCAUUCUUGAGGCGGAAAGGGGGCCAAAUAUUGCCAAGAAUGCCGCAGCUAGAGGGGCUGCAAUGGCUGCUGUUAGCAGCAACAGAGGUUUCGAAGAAAUGUUGGAGAGAGAGUAUCAAGAGAGAGAAGAGGAGGUUUUGAGCGAUAAUCAUCGUCUUCUUAAUUCAUU
rnacentral:lncRNA from 1 species